rnacentral:rRNA from 1 species
CGAGGGGGACGAAGGUGGCCGGCGGUGGCGGCGGCGCGGGGGACGAAGGUGGACGGCGGUGGCGGAGGCGCGGGGGACGAAGGUGGGUGGCGGUGGCGGCGGCACGGGGGACGAAGGUGGGAGGCGGCGGUCGGGUCGAAAGAAGGCGAGUUCCUGGUUCUUGCUGCACUCUACAGCAGGACCGGGUAGCAACACCGGGACGCGGGAUUGGUGGCGACAGCCGGUUGUGCCACCGGGACGAAGAGCGUUACAGCGUAGCACGAGAGUGGCGCGGUACACACCGGAGGAGGGCCGCUUCGCGGGAGCGGUUGUUGUGUGCAGUGCGGGGUCAGGUCGAGAGGCCACGGUCGGGUAGGUGGAAGCGCUGGGGUCCGGCAAAUCGUGACGGUCGUCUCGGACAAGUUGUGGGGUCGAGAGUGCGGGGGGGUAGACACCACAGUGGAAAAGAGAAGAGCGGUGGACGACGGCCAGCUCGAGGAUCUCAGUGAUGUAGCUGCGUGCGUAGACGACGUCACCCCCGAGUCAACGACGAGGUUUUAGCUUGUUAAACCUCCUUCUUACGUACUCUUUGUUCAGAGGGUUGCUACUGUUCCUGGGCUGGGUUGGUCGAAGCGGUACCGUACCGCGGAUGACCGCUUCCUGGUGGUUGAGGGACUGCUGCACGGGUUUGGGCGGCUGCUCCGGGCGGCGGGGUUGGGAGGAGGAAGGAGGAGCGUAGCCCUACUCGUUCUAGGUCGGCCACGGACUUCGGGUAGGGUGGUAACAUGGGGGGAAGGGGAGCGACGUGACUGGCCACACGGUAUCGCGGCGACGGUUCACGCGUAUACCUUCCAGCUCUUCAAGAUAACGAGCAUAUACGGUUCAAGUCUCUUCAACGGCGGUUACCGUGGCCUCGUCGCCAGUUUUAAUUUGAGCCAAAGUCAAACACGUACUCAAAAAAAAUGUAGUUAAACACGUAUACACAAUUAACCACCGAUCACACACACACGUCCCAUGGUAUUCAUAAUCUGCCGUUCACAUAACUCCACUCGUCGUUCUGCUCCGCACUUCGUACGGGAGUACACAUACGUCGCUCGACGAUGUUGUGAUCACGCCGAUAUGACAGUGUCUACUUGAACCGACCAACAUCGACGAACAUGAUUUGUACACACGGAGACAAUAGAAACCAUCAGUUACUACGUCUGAUUUGUACACACGUACACAAUAGAAACCAUCAGUUACCAACAUCGACGAACAUGAUUUGGUUCGUCCGGUUCCUACUUCAUAUGCUACGUCCGUUACUCCUGUUGAUUUUGUACGUUAGGCAUGUGUAUCGUCGUCGACGUUCAAUAAGGCAGAUACUACUGUACUAACGAUGAUGGAGGCAAGCCUUUUUGAACAGGGAGUUUACCUACAUACAUCGUGGUUCAAUCACGAUCUAUGUAGGUAAACUCCUUGUUCGAACCCUGUUCAAAAGAGCCUGCCUCCUUCAUGAAGAAUUUUCUUUCACAUGUACUAUCAAACU